rnacentral:rRNA from 1 species
GACGAACGCUGGCGGCGUGCUUAACACAUGCAAGUCGAACGGUGAAGGAGAGCUUGCUCUCCGGAUCAGUGGCGAACGGGUGAGUAACACGUGGGCAACCUGCCCCAGACUUCGGGAUAACGCUUCGAAAGAGGUGCUAAUACCGGAUACGAACUCCUUGGGCAUCCUUGGAGUUGGAAAGUUUUUCGGUCUGGGAUGGGCCCGCGGCCUAUCAGCUUGUUGGGGAGGUAACGGCUCACCAAGGCGACGACGGGUAGCCGGCCUGAGAGGGCGACCGGCCACACUGGGACUGAGACACGGCCCAGACUCCUACGGGAGGCAGCAGUGGGGAAUAUUGCGCAAUGGGCGAAAGCCUGACGCAGCAACGCCGCGUGAGGGAUGACGGCCUUCGGGUUGUAAACCUCUUUCAGCAGGGAAGAAGCGAAAGUGACGGUACCUGCAGAAGAAGCACCGGCUAACUACGUGCCAGCCGCCGCAGUAAUAC